rfam:Fukomys damarensis contig133258, whole genome shotgun sequence.
UAUAAGGCUUUUUUAGAAGCCACCAUUGUAAAAACUGAGGCAACU